UACGGAGGGAGCUAGCGUUGUUUGGAAUUACUGGGCGUAAAGCGCACGUAGGCGGCUUUGUAAGUUAGAGGUGAAAGCCCGGAGCUCAACUCCGGAAUUGCCUUUAAGACUGCAUCGCUUGAAUCCGGGAGAGGUGAGUGGAAUUCCGAGUGUAGAGGUGAAAUUCGUAGAUAUUCGGAAGAACACCAGUGGCGAAGGCGGCUCACUGGACCGGUAUUGACGCUGAGGUGCGAAAGCGUGGGGAGCAAACAGG
rnacentral:rRNA from 1 species